GGACUACACGGGUAUCUAAUCCCGUUCGCUCCCCUGGCUUUCGUGUCUCAGCGUCGGUACGCCCCCAGCAGACUGUUUUCACCUUUGGCGUUCCAGGCGAUAUCUACGCAUUUCACCGCUCCACCGCCUGUUCCGUCUGCCCCUGAGCGACCCAAGCCCGCCAGUAUGCCCAGCAGUUCCCCGGUUGAGCCGGGGGAUUUCACAAGACACUUAACGGGCCGCCUACACACGCUUUAAGCCCAGUGAUUCCGCCUAACGCUCGGCACCUCUGUCUUACCGCGGCUGCUGGCAC
rnacentral:rRNA from 1 species